rnacentral:rRNA from 1 species
GACGAACGCUGGCGGCGUGCCUAAUACAUGCAAGUAGAACGCUGAAGGAGGAGCUUGCUUCUCUGGAUGAGUUGCGAACGGGUGAGUAACGCGUAGGUAACCUGCCUGGUAGCGGGGGAUAACUAUUGGAAACGAUAGCUAAUACCGCAUAAUAGUAGAUGUUGCAUGACAUUUGCUUAAAAGGUGCAAUUGCAUCACUACCAGAUGGACCUGCGUUGUAUUAGCUAGUUGGUGGGGUAACGGCUCACCAAGGCGACGAUACAUAGCAGACCUGAGAGGGUGAUCGGCCAAACUGAGACUGAGACACGGCACAGACUCAUACGGGAGGAAGCAGUAGGGAAUCGUCGGCAAUGGACGGAAGUCUGACCGAGCAACGCCGCGUGAGUGAAGAAGGUUUUCGGAUCGUAAAGCUCUGUUGUAAGAGAAGAACGAGUGUGAGAGUGGAAAGUUCACACUGUGACGGUAUCUUACCAGAAAGGGACGGCUAACUACGUG